GACGAACCGUCCUAACGUUGUUCGGAAUCACUGGGCUUAAAGGGCGCGUAGGCGGACCAGCAAGUCCGGGGUGAAAUCUUUCGGCUUAACCGGAAAACAGCCUUGGAUACUGCUGGUCUCGAGGGAGGCAGGGGCCUGUGGAACUUCCGGUGGAGCGGUGAAAUGCGUUGAUAUCGGAAGGAACGCCGGUGGCGAAGGCGGCUCACUGGCCCGGUACUGACGCUGAGGCGCGAAAGCGUGGGGAGCAAACAGG
rnacentral:rRNA from 1 species